GUUUUGAUUGGUUUUCAUAUGCACGCUAUUUGCAUGCGCAACAUCCCCCACUAGAAAGGUAAACAAGCCAAGCUAAAGUUUGGCUAGCUGGCUAACUAGCCUGGCUAACUAAAAUUGUGCUAAAGGUUGUGGUGGACAGAGGACCAAAUCCGCAAGGCAACAGCCCUGGGUCUCACAGCGGUGGUUGUGGAAGAAGUCAAGAACGCUAUAUGGAUGGAACCAACAUAUCGGACCAUGGCAGAAGCAACAUAUUGGAUCAUGACAGAACCAAUGUUUGAACCAUUGCAGAACCAACAUAUUGAACCAUGCCUGGUGUUUGGUGCUGCUGUUGACAUGAGGCACACACACACACACACACACACAGCCUAAGACCUCAACAGACAGUUUUGAAGGAGUUCCAACAUAUGCUGAGCACUUGUUGGCACUUUUCCUUCACCCUGCUGUCCAACUCAUCCCAAAACAUCUCAAAUGGGUUGAGGUCGGGUGAUUGUGGAGGCCAGGUCAUCUGAUGCAGCACUCCAUCACUCCAUCACAUGAAGGCCUGAUUCUUCCAUCAUUCUUCGUGGUCAAAUAUCCCAUACACAGGCCUAGAGCAGAGGUAACUCUGGGUCUUCCUUUCCUGUGGCAGUCCUCAUGAGAGCCAAUUUCAUCAUAGCGCUUGAUUGUUUUUGCGACUGCACUUGAAGAAACUUUCAAAGUUCUUGAAAUGUUCCG
rnacentral:lncRNA from 1 species